GAUGAACGCUGGCGGCGUGCCUAAUACAUGCAAGUCGAGCGAACAGAUGAGGAGCUUGCUCCUCUGACGUUAGCGGCGGACGGGUGAGUAACACGUGGAUAACCUACCUAUAAGACUGGGAUAACUUCGGGAAACCGGAGCUAAUACCGGAUAAUAUAUUGAACCGCAUGGUUCAAUAGUGAAAGACGGUUUUGCUGUCACUUAUAGAUGGAUCCGCGCCGCAUUAGCUAGUUGGUAAGGUAACGGCUUACCAAGGCGACGAUGCGUAGCCGACCUGAGAGGAUGAUCGGCCACACUGGAACUGAGACCCGGUCCAGACUCCUACGGGAGGCAGCAGUAGGGAAUCUGCCGCAAGGGGCGAAAGCCUGACGGAGCAACGCCGCGUGAGUGAUGAAGGUCUUCGGAUCGUAAAACUCUGUUAUUAGGGAAGAACAAAUGUGUAAGUAACUAUGCACGUCUUGACGGUACCUAAUCAGAAAGCCACGGCUAACUACGUG
rnacentral:rRNA from 1 species